rnacentral:rRNA from 1 species
UCGGCUUAGAGUUUGAUCAUGGCUCAGAUUGAACGCUGGCGGCAGGCUUAACACAUGCAAGUCGAACGGUAAAGUAGCUUGCUACUUACGAGUGGCGGACGGGUGAGUAACGUAUGGGAAUUUACCGAAUGGAGGGGGACAACAGUUGGAAACGGCUGCUAAUACCGCAUAACGUCGAGAGACCAAAGGGUUUCGACUUGCCAUUUGAUGAGCCCAUAUGAGAUUAGCUAGUUGGUGUGGUAAUGGCUCACCAAGGCGACGAUCUCUAGCUGGUUUGAGAGGAUGACCAGCCACACUGGGACUGAGACACGGCCCAGACUCCUACGGGAGGCAGCAGUGGGGAAUAUUGCACAAUGGGGGGAACCCUGAUGCAGCCAUGCCGCGUGGAUGAAGAAGGCCUUAGGGUUGUAA